rnacentral:rRNA from 1 species
UACGAAGGGUGCAAGCGUUACUCGGAAUUACUGGGCGUAAAGGGUGCGUAGGUGGUUCUUUAAGUCUGCUGUGAAAGCCCCGGGCUCAACCUGGGAAUGGCAGUGGAUACUGGAGAGCUGGAGUGCGGUAGAGGGUAGUGGAAUUCCCGGUGUAGCAGUGAAAUGCGUAGAGAUCGGGAGGAACACCAGUGGCGAAGGCGGCUACCUGGACCAGCACUGACACUGAAGCACGAAAGCGUGGGGAGCAAACAGG